CCCAGUUUAGUGUCAUCUGCAAACUUGCUGAGGGUGCAGUCCACGCCAUCCUCCAGAUCAUUGGAUGGACAGAUAUAAAAUCUGAACUCCAUGACUCUGUAGGGUAUUAUCGGGAUGUGAUGUGAUGUGUACACCUAUUUCGCUAGACAUCUCCUCCCCAAGCAUUGAUCACAAUAGUGGCAGCUCCAGAACACUCCUGAAUUGGUAGGAACACUAUGGGCUGCUCUACUAGGUCUUAUCUGUUUGCUGUGAAAGAAGCUGUACAAGGUAUAUUCUGACUUCAGAUCUAUUUAAGAGAUUUGACAGCAUGCUGAGAGCCAGUAGCUGGCUUGGCACUCUGAUCACUUAAGUGUUCCUUAGUCCCCUUCCUGAUGGAGAAGUGGAAUUGUUAAUUACCUAAUCAGAGUGGAGCAGAGGAGCUAAUUAUUGGUUAGCUGAGAGGGUAGUUAAAAAGCACUGGAAGUGCAAUGGGGAGAGAUUAAGGCCUGAUGUACACUAGAAAAUGUGGUUGACAUAACUACAUUGCUUAAGGGUGUGAAAAAUCCGCACCCCUGAGCUGUGUAGUUAGCCUAAACUAAGUCCCCAUGUAGGCAGCCCUAAGUGCAUGGAACAAUUCUUCUAUUGACAGCUGAUGGGAGAACUCCUCCUGUAGGCGUAGGUAGUGUCUACACCAAAGCAGUACAGUGGUGUAGCUGUGUCGCUGUAGCGUUUUAAGUGAAGACAAGCCCUAACAGAGCCCAGAGGAAGUAAGAUCUCAGGGUUGCGAGAGCUCUCUAUCUCCCUGGACAAAGGGUUGAGGACUAGAGAAAGCUGUAGAUAGAAUUGCUACAUGGGAUCAUGUUGGUGGAGGUAAUAUAAAUAAAACUCACAGAGAUGCUAACAGAAAGUGUCCAAAGCUUUUGUGUGGGUCUCAGGACAGGAGUGGAGCCUGCCCUGUUACAAGAAUAAUAAUAUUUGCUUGAAAUGUUACAGUAUUAAAACUAAAUGUCGCCUACUACCUCUACCAGUUCAGGCAAAGACUUUCUUGUCUAGCAUGUCACACCAGUGGUAAUUGUACCUUUUUUUUUACCACAUUCAGUCAAGGUUCUAGGUGCAGUUGCAACUUUUCUUCCUAUGCUGAGCGUAAAUGAACUGGCCAUUUAAAAAAAUAAAAAAUGUGGAAAAAACCUAAAGGCCAUUUGGAUUUAAUCCUAACUCAGGAUGAUGAUGACUUUACUGGCAUAUGGCACCCUGUCCCAAAGUAGAAAUCAUGAUUCUCCUGUUUGCACUGAAUAAGCUCUGUGGCCCAUCCUCUUUGGAGCUCAGUGCAGUUAAUCUAAUCUACUGAUACUUAAUCCACGACUCUUUAGCUGCCUGUGGCCCUUUACAGUCUUCAUGAGGCUCUCAGAAAUUGUGCAAAUCUGAGUGGCACUCCACUCCUCUAUUUAGAUUUGGCAAAUCAAUUCACCUGUGUUGAAAUAGCUGAGAUUUUCCUCCCUGUGGAUGGGGUGAAAAGGAGCCACUGAGAUUGUCUCCGUAUGUAAGAGUGGAACCACUUCCAAGUCACAGCCAGGAGAGGAGGAGAAAGAGGACUGGAAAGCCACCUCUCUUUUCCAUUCUGAUACCUUGAAAACUGCUAUGGUCUCCAGAUGUUGGCUAGUCUUUAAAGAAGAAAUUGCAAACUGGUAACAGUCCCUUGAUGGAACUGCCACCUCCCUCCCCAUACCCUACAGACCUCUUCAACUCUGUGAUUCCAUGACAAGGUUAUUAAUGGUUGACAGAAGCAAAGCGUGGAUGGACAUCUCCAGGCCAAAUUGUAACACAUUUCUGCUUCUACAGUGAAAAGAACUGGGAUAGAUCAUGAUCAAGGUCCUGAUUGAAAGUCCUGUGAAGUCAUUGGGGGUCCCUUCAUGGAUUUAAUUGGGCUUUGGGUCAGGCCCUGACUGAGAAAAAAUAUGGUGAAAUUCAAGCAGAGAAGGAAUCUGAUUUGCCCAUGGCCUUCUAACUAGUCAGAGGUAGAGCAGGGAUUAGAACUCUUUAACAGAUUCUGAGCUUAAUGAUUCACUCCAUCCCGUCAAACCUUCUGCGGAUUUUUCUCACUGAAUGUCUUGGGCAGGGCUAAACUUUGACAUUUUUGUUUUUCUCUGACUUAUGGAGGUUCAAAAUAAAUCAAUUUAGGACCGUGUCCUAUGACUGGUAAGAAGUCACAGAAAGAGUCUCCUUCCUCUAACACUGAACAAGUAACUUCAUUAGAAGAAGGAAAAUGGCAUUAUUCCUAAUUUUUUUUCUCACUGCUUUGCUGUAGAGCUUCUGCCUCAAACCUUCUCAAGCCCCCUCCUGGCUAGCAUCUGUUUAUAGUUGUAAACAAACAGGACACAUAUGCUCACACACAGCACAGAAUGAAGAGGAACAGGGCAAGUCUUGUACAGUUGUAUCCUGCUGGGAAUGACAACGGCACCAUGAUUCCUCUCUCAUCACACCAUUUUUUCUUCUUGGCUUCCAGUAUCUUUUGCAACCGCAGGGGAGAGAUUUGGUAGGGCUGAAAGAAGGCCCUACUACCAUUCCUACGAUGAAGAGGAGGAGGGGAUUUUUGCCAGAUAAACUGUCUCCUGUUAACUGAAACUUUGUAGCGAAUAGGACUCAAAUGCAUAUCAAAUGGUAUACACUUUAUAAUGAAAACAUGUCAGAUCCAAAUGUGUCAGAUCUUAAUCUAGUCUUAGAUUUCCUUGAAGGCCAAUUUCUUCCCCUGGCUACAUGCGGUUGUGUUUUUCACUGUAUGGGUUUGUCAUUCUACUCAACACUGGACACAACUCAAAACACAGUUUGAGAAGCUGUUUAGGCAGGUACAUAUGCUCAGUUUACUGGAGCAAUUGUUACCAGAAUAUCAGGCAACUAUGCAAAGCAUUAGUAAUAUAAAGCUCUGCCAUGUAGUGGUGAAGCCAUAACCCUGCAUUUGAACAGGCUAACAAAUACAGUACACCAUACAUUGGUAAGAUAACUUGACUGAAGUCAAUGGGAGCCUCAUGUAUGCAUCUGAAUAAUAGAAAUAUUGGGCCCAAAUCUGCCGUCAGCUAUUCCACUGAAAAUCCAUAGUAAUAUGUAAAAGCAGAACUGACACUAUGGAAAUUAGAGAUAUGAAAGCUGCCCAAGCAGAUUUUAAUUUGUCAAAAGUAUCAUGGACAACUUCCUCAAUGAGAAGGAACCACGAUGUGAAUGUUAAUACUUGUACAUUUAACACUUAGUCCCUACUGAUAUCUUCAUAAAGAAGUUCAUUAAAGAGACUGAGGGCUCAUUUAAUCUGGAAUUGCACAUUUUCAGGGGAAGCCUCUUCCAUUUUUGAUGACCUUCCUAGAUCCUUCAGGGUUCCAUCCUUCGCUGAUUAGUCCUUGCUUUGUGGCUACCAGCUUUCUGGCCAAGGAAGACUGGAUGAGGGGGCUUGAAAAUGGUGAGUGCUGUUUCUGAAUCAAGCAGAAAGCUUACUGAUGAAGGAUGGGAGGCACCUCCUCCCACAAGUGGUUGAGUUCAGUGUCUCCCCAGCAUUCUCAGGGCCAGCUGGCUUGGGGAGCAAAACCCAGAGUUAAAAAUAAAACAGCCACUAAAUGCCGUGUUUUUCUUUUUUCCUGGACUUGACCCAACAUUUUUUGGUGUAAUUUCUGGCUCACUACAGCUUCAGUCUGGGCGAGCAAAGGGGUAGUUGCCCCCAAGAGAAUCAAAAGCAGCAGAAAUGCAGCUACAUUGUAAGGACUGUUAUUAUGGUGGAAACACUGAUUAUUACUGGGAAGCGGGAGGGGAGUCAUCUGUCUUCUUCAUAUGCUACAUAUCAUUUUACAUAUGGUUUUCUGGCUAAAUGCUUUUCCUUUGAAUUAUUCAUUUGUAACAUAAAUUGGGUGAAUGCUUUGCAAAUUAUCCCAGUUGCAGGGAUUUUUGAAAGGCAAAAUUUCAAUAUUUUAAUGAAAUAUUUUAGCUUUUCAGUAUAUUUUAACAUGCCAUGGUGUUUUUAAGGGAAACCACAAGGUCAUAACCAGAAAAUACAAAGGUAAGAGUAGGUUAUUGUUUCUGUCAUUCCAUAACAUAAUCUGAAGAGUUUAAUGGCCACACGACCUUGUGUCAAAUAUGGCAGUUUCCUGCAAUAUUUUUGGGAGGUAUUACACUAUUAAAUGCCAAAGAUAAUACUUGAUAUGUCCAAAGAGGCCCCAAUCCUUCCUGGGAAGGGCUGGAAGGACAGACACUUGCCAGACUCCAAAUAAGUGUUUAGCAUGCAUGUAAGUUCUUUUAUUCUUUUUAAUAUGUUUUCUCUGUAAUGUUUUCACCUUAAGAAUAAAUGUGCUUGCUUAUAAAGAACUAUGGGGUAACUUGGCUGCUGGCAAUUACGUUGUUCAUAGCCUUCAAAGAAUAAGCAACGUUCAGAUGCUGGCCUGCUUAGGCAGUCUGACUAGGAAUAUCAGUGUAGACAAAGAACAGUGCAUCCUGGAAAAACCCCAGUCCGUAGGAUUGCCAAGUGUCCAGUUUUCAACUGGAACACUCGGUCGAAAAGAGACCGAGCGGCUCUGGUCAGCACCGCUGAUUGGGCCGUUAAAAGUCCGGUUGGUGGCGCAGGCAAGCUCCCUACCUCCAUGCCGCUCCCGGGAAACUGCUGGCAUGUCCAGCUCCUAGGCAUAGGGGCGGCCAUGGGGGUGCUGCACACUGCCCCUGCCCGAGAGCCAGCUCCGCAGCUCCCAUUGGGUGGGAACUGUGGCCAAUGGGAGCUCUGGGGGCGGCACCUGUGGGUGGAGGCAGUGCGUAGAUCCACCUGGCUGUGCCUCUGCGUAGGAGCUGGACAUGCCAGCAGCUUCUGAGGAGGCGCCUGAGGUAAGCGCCACCUGGCGCCCGCACCCCCUCUCGUGCCCUAACCCCCCUGCCCAAGCCCCCUCCCACACCCAAAUGCCCUCAGCCCCAGCCCAGAGCCCCUUCCUGCACCUGAAACCACUCUUCCCCGGUCCCACCACAGAGCCUGCACCCCCAGCUGGAGCCCUCACCCCCUCCCGCACCUCAAUCCUCUGCUCCAGCUCAGUGAAA